rnacentral:lncRNA from 1 species
CUGCCUCACAGCCCUUCAAGAACCCAACCACUGGUGCAUUUGCUUUCUGUCCCCAACAGGAAGCACUCGCUCUACGGAGCCCUUCAUUCUCACACGCCUGCUCCAUCGGGAAGACGCAAGGAGCUGCAGCUCUCCUGUCUCGCCCGGGAGGGGAACUUGGACGGCCUUGGAAAACUACGGUCUGCUCUGCCACGACCACAGACUUCAGCCAGAGUUCCAGAAAUACCAACCGCAAUUACUUUCAACGGCGCGGGAAUUCACCACUUCCCCUCACAGAUCCUGCGGCGAAGGGUCACUUGAGUGCUGUGUCUACAGGUAUGUGCCACUGCACUUAGCUAAGAUCCAAUAAAGAAGAGACGCGAGUCCUUGGUGCAGUCCAGGCCCAGAUGAGUGGCUCCCACCUUCCUUCUUCACGGUCUUGCCCUCCUUCCAGCCUCACUGAUCCCCAGAACACACCGACCACGUUACCACCACAGUCGUCUGCAUCCUGCUCCUGGGCUACACCGAUUAACAGCUCCCCAAAGACAGCCAUGUCCUAAGCCAUCAGCAAUAACUGUGACUUUUCAUGGUGAUGGGGACUUUGGAAAUGGGAUUAAGCCACGUCUUUUUUGUUUUGUUUUUUUUUGGUACUGGGGAUCAAACUCAGGUCCUCGUGCUUGCAAGGCAAGUGCUGGAACCACUGAGCUAAAUCCCCAGCAAGCACGUCUUUUUUAUUUCUCUC